UUACGGUCAAAUCACGCUAAAAGCAACGGUUCUCGUUCGAUCAACGAGGUUAAGCAGUGUCGUGCCCAGUUAGUACUUAGAUGAGGGACCGCUUUGGAACACCGGAUAC